UUCGACGCCGAUUUGCACAAAUAUCCUCUCCCUGCGUGUAAACCCCGCUAUCUGAUAACUGCUCGAGCAACUGAUGACAGCUCAAGCAUCCCGGCCUGCGUGGACUUCGACUGUUCGGUCAGGAAUAAGACAGAUUGCAGUAACGUUAUCUGGUGUCUUUGGUCGGAAGAAAAGUGCCAAAAUGUGGAUUCAUGAUAGGAUGUUUUGGUUAAAACUUUAGAUACCUAGACUUAACGACAUAAUUAUACACACUCUGGUCACAUUACCAAAUGAAAGUCUGUAAAAGCUAAUUAAUCUCGUUUGAAUAUGAACAUUGGCAACAGAUAUGUGCUUAGAAUAAAGGUCUGAAUAUAU